GUAACCUAUUGCUCCCAUGAAUUCGUCCCACACUGCUAUUGUAAGUUGGGUGGUUGGGAGGAGAUCUUGUCGCCUUGGUCUUAAUUGCUUGGGCGCCCAUAGAUACUCAAGUAGGGAUUGAUUACGGAAUUGUGCCCUUUCCAUGUCCACCCAUUGAGUUGUGUUAGGUGGAGCAUGUAGAAGAACACCUGAGGACAGAAUUGCUGCCCUGUAGUACUGUCUGAUAUUUGG